GGAGAGCGGCCCGGUGCGCGCGCGCAGAGAGAGAACCCGAGACAGAGAGGGAGAGGGAGAGGGAGAGAGGAGAGGGAGAGCCAACCACCGCCGAGUCAAGAUUCAGCGAUUCCACCGCAAUCGCCCUAAUGACAACAGCCUCAUAAUAUCUCCCCUAAAUCCACUUGCAACUCUUAAUCUCGCUACCUCCCCCUCCUCUCUUCUCUCUUCUCCCUCUCUCUCCUCUUUUCUCUACCGCUGUCUCUGAGACUUCUUCUUCCCUUUUUCCUAAAGAAGUUGAUCCAGAAAUUCGAAAAGCCCUGGGCAGAGUUGUUGAAUGGGAUGUGCAAUUAGAGAGGGGAUUUUGUUGGGAGGCAAGAGGGUCCCCCAGGCUCCACAUAGUCCAGGUCGGCAGGCAAGGAAAGACGGCUGACCAGCCCAGCGGGCGCGGUUUGCACAUGGUUUGCACGUCGGGCCGCCUCUUUCUGCCUAGAAUUCAGCUGCCUCUCUGAGGAGUGGUGGAGGAGCUGCGGGAGCCGAGAAGCCCAAGAGCCCUCUGGACCCAGAAAAGUCCUACAGAUGCCCACUCCUCACCACACAACAGAAGGAGCUCUGGUCCUGCCUGCCAGCCCCAGAGGGCACUCAAACUUUGGAGGCCAGCCACCCGGAUGAAGUGAAUAAGGCCUGAAAAUUGCUUGUUUGCUCGUAUUGUAAAAUAAUAAUAAUUACCAUUAUUAUUUUUAAACUGUCUAAUUUCUCUAGGGAAAGUAACAUCGAAAGCCUAAAACAGACGCCAAAAGGCCCAUAGAACACAGAGGGCCCUCUCUGCCUCUGGCCACCACAGCCCCUAGGCCAGGCAUGGGUAUUUAUUCUUAGGUAUGUUGCUUUUAAGAAGCUGUAAUCAGCAUCUUGAGCCGGGCCUCCCUUUGUGAGGCUUCUGUAACUAUGGAAGUGUGAUUUACGCAGAUUUGUCGGGGUCAGAGACGUCUUUCCCUGAGCACUGUGUAUAUUUAGACAGGACUCGGUUUGGUGUUAAAAAGUGUAUAUGUUGAAUGGAUUCACACACAGUAGCCAACAAUGACCACAUUGUCGGCCCGUGUACAACGCGUAUUGAAACGCAGCGCCCAGACUUCAACUAAUCUGCCCUCAAUAAAGCUGAAAUAAUUAUCCUA
rnacentral:lncRNA from 1 species